UACGUAGGGAGCAAGCGUUGUCCGGAAUCAUUGGGCGUAAAGCGCGCGUAGGCGGCUCGAUCAGUCUGCUGUGAAAGUCAAAGGCUCAACCUUUGAAUGCCGGUGGAUACUGUCGAGCUAGAGUCCGGAAGAGGCGGGUGGAAUUCCUGGUGUAGCGGUGGAAUGCGUAGAGAUCCGGAAGAACACCGGUGGCGAAGGCGGUGAGCUGGGCAGUUGCUGACACUGAGGCGCGACAGCGUGGGGAGCAAACAGG
rnacentral:rRNA from 1 species